AAAUGUGGAAAAAAGAUUUUUGGGUGCCCAGAUAGCUCAGUUGGUAGAGCGGGCACCCGUAUUUAGAGGCUUACUCCUCGAUGUAGCAGGCCCGGGAUUGACUUCAACCUGCGGCCCUUUGCUGCAUGUCAUUUUCCCCCUCUCUCCCCUUGCAUCUCUUCUG